rnacentral:lncRNA from 1 species
CCAACAUUGUUUCUUCAGCUAAAUGGAUAAGUAGAUGUUCCAUGAUAUCAAAGAAAGAUGGAGGAAAUAUUCUCUCCAAAUGACAUAGAGUUAUUGCAACUCGAUCUUGGAGUUUUUCUAAGUCACCUAUCUUCAGAUCUUUUGAACAAAUGCCCCUAAAGAAAUUACUUAAUUCAAUCAAUGGCUUAAGUACAUUCACUGGCAGGAGAUUCUGCAAGGCAAUAGGAAGGAGUUG